rnacentral:rRNA from 1 species
AGAGUUUGAUCCUGGCUCAGGAUGAACGCUAGCGGCAGGCCUAACACAUGCAAGUCGAGGGGCAGCACGGUGUAGCAAUACACUGGUGGCGACCGGCGCACGGGUGCGUAACGCGUAUGCAACCUACCCAUAACAGGGGGAUAACACUGAGAAAUUGGUACUAAUACCCCAUAACAUCAGGACCGGCAUCGGUUCUGGUUGAAAACUCCGGUGGUUAUGGAUGGGCAUGCGUUGUAUUAGCUGGUUGGUGAGGUAACGGCUCACCAAGGCAACGAUACAUAGGGGGACUGAGAGGUUAACCCCCCACAUUGGUACUGAGACACGGACCAAACUCCUACGGGAGGCAGCAGUGAGGAAUAUUGGUCAAUGGACGCAAGUCUGAACCAGCCAUGCCGCGUGCAGGAAGACGGCUCUAUGAGUUGUAAACUGCUUUUGUACUAGGGUAAACGCUUCUACGUGUAGGAGCCUGAAAGUAUAGUACGAAUAAGGAUCGGCUAACUCCGUGCCAGCAGCCGCGGUAAUACGGAGGAUCCAAGCGUUAUCCGGAUUUAUUGGGUUUAAAGGGUGCGUAGGCGGUUUGAUAAGUUAGAGGUGAAAUACCGGGGCUCAACUCCGGAACUGCCUCUAAUACUGUUGAACUAGAGAGUAGUUGCGGUAGGCGGAAUGUAUGGUGUAGCGGUGAAAUGCUUAGAGAUCAUACAGAACACCGAUUGCGAAGGCAGCUUACCAAACUAUAUCUGACGUUGAGGCACGAAAGCGUGGGGAGCAAACAGGAUUAGAUACCCUGGUAGUCCACGCAGUAAACGAUGAUAACUCGUUGUCGGCGAUACACAGUCGGUGACUAAGCGAAAGCGAUAAGUUAUCCACCUGGGGAGUACGUUCGCAAGAAUGAAACUCAAAGGAAUUGACGGGGGCCCGCACAAGCGGAGGAACAUGUG